rnacentral:pre_miRNA from 1 species
UUUGUAGUAUAAGUAUGUCCCAUGUCGUAUUUGGGACAUACUUAUACAAAAA